rnacentral:rRNA from 1 species
UACGUAGGGGCCGAGCGUUGUCCGGAAUUAUUGGGCGUAAAGGGCUCGUAGGCGGUUUGUCGCGUCGGGAGUGAAAACUCAGGGCUUAACCCUGAGCCUGCUCCCGAUACGGGCAGACUAGAGGUAUGCAGGGGAGACUGGAAUUCCUGGUGUAGCGGUGAAAUGCGCAGAUAUCAGGAGGAACACCGAUGGCGAAGGCAGGUCUCUGGGCCACUACUGACGCUGGAGAAGCGAAAGCAUGGGGAGCAACAGG